GGAGCUACCAUGCAGUCGAGCGGCAGCGGGGGGAAGCUUGCUCUCCCCGCCGGCGAGCGGCGGACGGGUGAGUAAUGUCUGGGGAUCUGCCUGAUGGAGGGGGAUAACUACUGGAAACGGUAGCUAAUACCGCAUAACGUCGCAAGACCAAAGUGGGGGACCUUCGGGCCUCACGCCAUCGGAUGAACCCAGAUGGGAUUAGCUAGUAGGUGGGGUAACGGCUCACCUAGGCGACGAUCCCUAGCUGGUCUGAGAGGAUGACCAGCCACACUGGAACUGAGACACGGUCCAGACUCCUACGGGAGGCAGCAGUGGGGAAUAUUGCACAAUGGGGGAAACCCUGAUGCAGCCAUGCCGCGUGUGUGAAGAAGGCCUUCGGGUUGUAAAGCACUUUCAGCGGGGAGGAAGGCGGUAAGGUUAAUAACCUUACCGAUUGACGUUACCCGCAGAAGAAGCACCGGCUAACUCCGUGCCAGCAGA
rnacentral:rRNA from 1 species